GGCAAUUCUGGUGACCUGGUGUCUUGACUGCCUGCCUUGCGGACCUCAUGGCCAGCUAUUCUAGCAGCCUGGUGUCUUGCUGCCCGCCAUGUGGACCAAGCGGAUGGCAGUCCUGGCGGCCUGGUGUCUUGCUGCCUGCCCUGCGGACCAAGUGGAUGGCAGAUCUGACGGCCCGGUGUCUUGCUGCCCACCAUGCAGACCAAGUCGGUGGCAGUUAUGGGGGUCUGGUGUCUUGCUGCUGUCCUGCGGACCUCAUGGCCAGCUGUCCUAGCGGCCUGGUACCUUGUUGCCUGUCAUGCGGACCUGGUGGCCAGUUAUAGCGGCCUGGUAUGCUGGUGAUCACUGGCCUAUGACAUUGAACUGGAGACCAAAGAACACAGCCGCCUGCUUGGCGCACUCGUGAGUCAUAUUUCAAAAAUUUCUGUGUGUUGCUGACUUCCUGAAAGGAGGCAGUCAUGUUUUUUUCAAGAGUGUGCUGUCUUGGGAUACAGUAAUUUGUAAAUAUUUGAAAUUUUAUCCAGGAAGAUUUUUAUAUCCCACCACAUGCAUAAAUUUGCCUGCCAUAGCCAAGCAGCAGCUUUGCCUGGACUUCAUGUAUAACCUUUUCAGGUACUGUUGAUAC